AAUCAACGCUGGCGGCGUGCCUCAGACAUGCAAGUCGAACGAUUAAAGCUCUCUUCGGAGAGUGCAUAGAGUGGCGCACGGGCGAGUAACACGUAAGUAAUCUACCUUCGAGUGGGGAAUAACGUCCGGAAACGGACGCUAAUACCGCAUAAUGCAGCGGCAUCGCAAGAUGACAGUUGUUAAAGAUUUAUCGCUUGAAGAGGAGCUUGCGGCAGAUUAGCUAGUUGGUAAGGUAAUGGCUUACCAAGGCUACGAUCUGUAACCGGUCUUAGAGGACGGUCGGUCACACUGACACUGAAUAACGGGUCAGACUCCUACGGGAGGCAGCAGUCGGGAAUGUUGGGCAAUGGGCGAAAGCCUGACCCAGCAGCGCCGCGUGAAGGAUGAAGUAUUUCGGUAUGUAAACUUCGAAAGAAUGGGAAGAAUAAAUGACGGUACCAUUUAUAAGGUCCGGCUAACUACGUGCCAGCCGCCGCCGUAAAAC
rnacentral:rRNA from 1 species